CUAUCUGCAGUCGAUGGGUUUAGACCCAUGGCGAACGGGUGAGUAACGCGUAGGAAGCUGCUCCGAAGUCUGGUAUAACUCGCCGAAAGGCGAGAUAACACCGGAUAUGCCGCAAGGUGAAAGUUUACGCUUCGGAAGGCGCCUGCGUCCUAUCAGCUUGUUGGUGAGGUAACGGCUCACCAAGGCUAUGACGGGUAACUGGUCUGAGAGGACGACCAGUCACAGUGGGACUGAGACACGGCCCACACUCCUACGGGAGGCAGCAGUAGGGAAUCGUCGGCAAUGGGCGAAAGCCUGACCGCGCGACGCCGCGUGGAGGAAGAAGGCCUUCGGGUUGUAAACUUCUUUUAUGGGGGACGAUUAUGACGGUACCCCACGAAUAAGGGCCUGCUAACUACGUGCCAGCAGCAGCGGUAAUACGUAGGGCCCGAGUAUUAUCCGGAAUUACUGGGCGUAAAGAGCGUGUAGGUGUUCGUACAAGUUGGUCGUUAAAUCUCACCGCCUAACGGUGAGGCCGCGAGCAAAACUGUACGAAUUGAGGUUUGCAGGGGCUAGCAGAAUUUCUGGAGUAGGGGUGAAAUCCGUUGAUACCAGAAAGGAAUACCAAUGGCGAAAGCAGCUAGCUGGGCAAUACCUGACACUGAGACGCGAAAGCGUGGGGAGCAAACGGGAAUUAGAUACCCCGGUAGUCCACGCCGUAAACUCUGUCAACUAGCAAUAGGAGAGUCGACCCUCUCUGUUGCGAAGCUAACGCGUCAAGUUGACCGCCUGGGAAGUACGAUCGCAGAUUA
rnacentral:rRNA from 1 species